UAAUUAUAACUCCAUCAGCUUAGUCCUAAUGCAGGUCUACGGUUUAUAACAAGUUGAUGAAGUGGUGCAGAUCAGAUCCUGUUUCAUAAUGGACGACACACAAAUAUCCAGAGAUGAAAAUGUUUCUCCAGGAUGCAGUUCAGUUCAUCAGAAGAGAUCAGAUCCAGAGCCCAGCUGUGUGUCUAUGAGGAGUGACCGGUCUAUGAAUCCUCCAAAGAAUUUUAGAAGUGAAAAUACACAGA